UUCAAGCAAGCCUCAAAGCCACCAAGCUCAACACACACGGGAGAGUCCUUCCAGGAGUGACGAAUUCCUGGAUUCACACCGGCCCUUCCAAUCAGUAAGAGUCGGUGUAGGCUGCCAUCUAACUAGCCUCCCUGUACUUCGUAAAGAGUACCAUGUGUCUACACUUCCUGAAGGAAUGGAGAAAUGGAUGCCUGAGAAGACAGACAGAACCAGAGUGUCUGGUGGUGAGUGGACUUACAGCUGUGUGCCCCCAGGGCCUGUCUGGGAGGUGAUAAGUUCUCAACCUUUCAAAAUGAGGAACUCGUGGUGUUGAUCUAUUCCAAAUCUUUUGCUCCUUUAUUCCCGUGGAAGGUGCCUGCUACUGCCUCCUCAAAGGCAGCGCUCUUCUCUCACCAGCAGCAGCUACACCUCUGUCCAGACUUGCAGUGGUAACUUACUCUGCCCCACUGGUGUGAGUCCAAGCCUUCUACAAGUGGAUCAGAAAGAAGGCCAAGUGCUUCUGCUUCAAGAGAAACCUAAAUCUCAGCAUGGCAGAUACGGCACAGUACAGGAGGCCGGAAGGCUUGUCUUGUCCUGUUAACAAACUGAGUCUAUCUUUAUCCAUUAACCAAGAGACCACC
rnacentral:lncRNA from 1 species